rnacentral:lncRNA from 1 species
CUGCAGCAGAGGAGCCCCCAACCAAGUUAGAGGAGGAGGAGGAACCAGCCCCCAGCACUACAAAGUACCAGAACCGGAAGCUCCAGCCUCUGGCAGCUGGUUGGCAAGGGGGGUGGCACACCUAUGAGCCCAAUGUCACUGUGCUACUCAAGAGCAAAGAGCUCCUGGACUAGGUACCUGCAAGCUGAUGGGUCUUCCAAGCUACUGACCUGUGCCCUGUACAGCUCUGCCCUUGGGUUCGUAGAAUCAUGGGGAACCUGAGGGUCAUCCAGUCCAACCCUUUGCAAUGCAGGAAUCUCAGCUAAAGCAUCCAUGACAGAGGGCCAUCCAACCUCAGCUUAAAAGCCUCCAAGGAAGGAGAGUUCCACCACCUCCCAAGGAAGUCUGUUCCACAGCUCUUACUAUCAAAAAGUUCUUCCUGGUUUAGUCAUAAUCUCCUUUCUUGUAACAUGGAGCCAUUGGUUUGAGUCCUACUCUCCAGAGCAUGAGAAAACACGCUUCCUCCCUCUUCCAUGUGACAGCCCUUGAGAUAUUUGAGGAUGGCUCUCAUAUCUCCUCUCAGUCUCUUUUCCAGGCUACACAUACCCAGUUCCUUCAACCAUUCCUCAUAAGGCUUGGUUUCCAGACCCCUGAUCAUCUUGCUUGCUGUCCUCUGAAUAUGUUCCAGCUUGUCAAUAUCUUCUUAAAUUCUGGCUGCUGAAGCAUUGCAAUUAAAUAAUUUAAAGUGGAUUUGUGACCUUUUCCUUCAAAAGUAUUGGAAGGACUUCGUAUGCCAGCUUCACAAUUUCCUUCCUUUGGUGCUGGUAUUUUAUUUUCAAUAGAAACAAGACUCUGUUUUUUCACCUACACACACCUACACACCACUUUAAAUUGUUCUCUGAGACAUGGAAGGCAGGAAAAAGGAAAACUGGGACAUUCUGGGGUCAAAUCCAGGAUCAAAUUCCGUGGCUGUCCCUGGAAAAUUGAGACACUUGGAGGGUCUGAGAUCAGAGUGGGACCAUGACUUCCCUUGAUCUGGACACUAGACUUCUGUUGCUGCAGCCUAGAAUAGCAUUAGCUUUUUUUGCUGCUUCCUCACAUGGUUGACUCAUGUUCAGCUUGUGGUCCACUAAGACCCCAAUAUUCUUUUCACAUGUUUUGCUGUGAAGCCAGGUGUCCCCCAGAGGGUGGUGAGCCUAGGGGGUCCUGGGAGCCAGAGGCACUCUUGAUUUAGGUGUUUGUGCCAGGUAUAUAUGGUAUUUCUGUGCAUUUUCCCGCACUUCCAUUUCCCGCCUCGCCCCCAACUCUUUUGCAAAGAAGGUGUGUGGAGAGCCCCCCGUUCCUGCCAAGCCUGAGGUCGGAGGCAGGAAACCUGAGAGUUUAUUAGUGAAGGGUUUCCCCAGACGCCAGCUACACCAUGCUUUCCUUCAGGCGCUGUUUGCAAAUAUAGGUUAUUAAAUUGAUUUCCCCCCAUGUCUCUUCCAUGCUCAAUGAACAUUAAAAUUAAAGUUCUGCUUAGUUUCUUUCUAGGUCAAGGGUGAGGGAGCUGGAGGGAGGGGAGGGGGAAAGAGGAGGAAGGGAUGUGAUGCAGCAAUUUCCCUAAAAGAGAAAAUGCUGCCUAUAUAGCAAAACAAUAAAACAUCACAAUAGAUAAAUAUAAUGGGGGGUUCACACACACCCCAGUCCAAACGCACAAUUGGGAACAAGGUAUGACCAGCGAUGGCUGCUGGUGCCCAUUGAGUGUGGUGGAGCAAAGCUAAUGGACUCACGGUUGCAACAAAACUGUUCCCCAAGCCCAUUUCACAGAAGGCAAAGUGGUAGAGCUCAGAGCUGCUGCCCCCACUUUGCCCAAAUGAGGAGCCUUGCUCUGCCGCAAAAUGGGGGGUCGGGUCCCUGUGGCAGGGAGCAAGCUGCGCACCAAGAGCCCCCGCCCUUCUCCUCCUUCGUCCUGCUGGCUUGGCUUCCUUCCAUGCGGUCGACAGCUAGAACGAUAUUUAGCAGGGCUCUGAUUGAUGGGCACAAGCAAGUCUUCCUGCCUCCCUAUUGUAAAAGACAGGCACUCUUCCAAUUUUUAUCAAGUUUUACUUUUCAAAAAAGAAAAGGAAAGACACACACACACCCUUCUUUCUUUGUCAAGUGAAUGAGAAGAUUGACUUUGAAGAGUGUUGAUUGACACAGCUGCUGGAGAACUGGGCCUCAGAAACAGCAUUAAAAAACCCAGCACCCUAAUCCAAGGCAACCUUUUCUUUUUCUUCAAAAAAAUGGGUUACCCAUUGAUAAGGAAGUCAUUUGGGACAGAAGCAACUGUCUGAAGAGCCCGCGAUCAUGGAAGAGCUCAACCAAUGCUUAAUUUCAUAGACUCAUGGAGGUGGGGGGGCCUCCAAGGGCAAGAACCACAGAUAAAGCAUCCCUGACACAUGGCCCUCCAACCUCUGUCUAAAAAUCUCCAAGAAAGGAGAGUCCACCUGCCCCCGAGGGAGUCCGCUCCAUUGCUCAACAGCUCUUACUGUCAGAAAGUUCUUCCUGAUGUUUAAUUUGAAUCUACAAGGAACUGCACUUUGGCUCAUGUGUCAGCCCCUUCUCCCUCCAAAUCCCUGAGGUUUCAAGCCGGGUUGUAGUGCCAGGAAAAAAGGCACUCUGGUUAUUCUCAAGUGCAUUCUUUCUUUUCUUAUUGCACUUCAACAGUGAAACGGUCUCUUUCAGGAGAUGGUGGACUCUCCUUCCUUGGAGAUUUGUAAGCAGAGGUUGGAGGGAUGCACAACUGUCAUGGAAGCUUUAGUUGAGAUUCCUGCACUGCAGGGGGUUGGACUAGAUGACCCUCAGGUCCCUUCAAAAUCUAUGAUUCUAGGACUUGUUAUAAAGAUCUGCUCUAGGGCUGGAAGCAGGAUUAAGUUUAACCCUGUGAGUGUUCUCUGUGCUGCUGGUAGUUUUGUUUAGUAGACUCUAGCCUUCAGUGCCUAGACUAUAUGUAAGCUUUACCCUGGUCCUUCUCCAAGGUGGCAUGCAGACAAAGGAUCUAGGGGUCUUAGUGGACCGCAAGCUGAAGAGGAGCCCACAGUCUGAUGCAGCAGCUAAAUAAGCAUGUGAGGGCAUCCCAGGGUAUGGUCAGCCAAGACAAGCCCUUCAUGAGGCCAGGAGCUUUGGGUCUGGUCAGGAGUUGGAUGGGUGCCCUGGGAAUCACCUGGGCACUGCCUUGAGUUCCAUGAUGGAAGAAAGGCAAGAGAUCCAAAUGUAAUAGUUGACACAGGUGGGGCCCAAUCCACCAGCAAGUUCUUUCACACAAAGCAAACCUCACGAGAUGCUGGAGGCAAUUGCUUGAACUUUGAAGGCAGAUUGAAAGCUUUUGCCACACUUUGGAUGCUAUUGUACAGCUUCAAAAACUUAAGAGCCUUUGUGACUGAUCUCCAUUUACAUUGCAUUGUGUCUCUGUUGUUGUUACUUUUCUCCCAAGGAAAUCAUUUUGUGGUUGGACUGUCUCUGGGAUCUCCUCCUCCUGCUGCACCCUUUGCUCUGCUGAUGGCCUGGAGGAGCCCGUGUUUGCUCCACAAUGAUGGGCAUGGGGAGGGCAGCAGCUGCUUCCGUCCCGACUUACAAUUGCAUUUAUGGA